AUUGAACGCUGGCGGCAGGCCUAACACAUGCAAGUCGAGCGAGCGGCGGGCGGGUGAGUAAUGUAUGGGAAACUGCCCGAUGGAGGGGGCUAACUACUGGAAACGGUAGCUAAUACCGCAUACAAUCAGAUGUGCCCAGAUGGGAUUAGCUAGUGGGUGGGGUAAUGGCUCACCCAGGCGACGGUCCCUAACUGGUCUGAGAGGUUGAUCAGGCCAACUGGAACUGAGACACGGGCCCGACUCCUAAGGGAGGCAGGAGGGGGGAAUAUUUGACCAGGGGGGAAAGCCCGAUGCAGCCAUGGCGCGUGGUUGAAGAAGGCCCUAGGGUUGGAAAGUACUUUACGGCGGGAGGCGGUACCCACAGAAGAAGCACCGGCUAACUCCGUGCCAGCAGCCGCGGUAAUAC
rnacentral:rRNA from 1 species